rnacentral:rRNA from 1 species
AGCACCACAACAGGUGGAGCCUGCGGUUUAAUCGGACUCAACGCCGGGAAACUCACCAGAUAAGACAGCUGAAUGAUAGUCGGGCUGAAGACUCUACUUGACUAGCUGAGAGGAGGUGCAUGGCCGUCGUCAGUUCGUACUGUGAAGCAUCCUGUUAAGUCAGGCAACGAGCGAGACCCACGCCAACAGUUGCCAGCUCGUCCUCCGGGAUGGUGGGGACACUGUUGGGACCGCCUCUGCUAAAGAGGAGGAAGGAAUGGGCAACGGUAGGUCAGCAUGCCCCGAAUUAUCUGGGCUACACGCGGGCUACAAUGGGUGGGACAAUGGGUAUCGACACCGAAAGGUGAAGGCAAUCUCCUAAACCCAUCCGUAGUUCGGAUUGCGGGCUGCAACUCGCCCACAUGAAGCUGGAAUCUGUAGUAAUCGUGUCUCAAAAUGGCACGGUGAGUAUGUCCCUGCUCCUU